rnacentral:rRNA from 1 species
GACGAACGCUGGCGGCGUGCUUAUCACAUGCAAGUCGAACGAAAAGAGGGAAAGAGCUUGCUCUUUCCGGAAUUGAGUGGCAAACGGGUGAGUAACACGUAAACAACCUGCCUUCAGGAUGGGGACAACAGACGGAAACGACUGCUAAUACCGAAUAAGUUCCAAGGGCCGCAUGGCCCAUGGAAGAAAAGGUGGCCUCUACCUGUAAGCUAUCGCCUGAAGAGGGGUUUGCGUCUGAUUAGCUGGUUGGAGGGGUAACGGCCCACCAAGGCGACGAUCAGUAGCCGGUCUGAGAGGAUGAACGGCCACACUGGAAUUGAGACACGGUCCAGACUCCUACGGGAGGCAGCAGUGGGGAAUCUUCCGCAAUGGGCGAAAGCCUGACGGAGCAACGCCGCGUGAGUGAUGACGGCCUUCGGGUUGUAAAACUCUGUGAUCCGGGACGAAAAGGCAGAGUGCGAAGAACAAACUGCAUUGACGGUACCGGAAAAGCAAGCCACGGCUAACUGCGUG